AUUUUAACAUGUUGUUGAGACAUUUUCCAGUAAUGUUCAACAAGCCCUGUGUGGAAGAAAAGGGAACAGAUGGUGGGGCUAACUUCAUAUUGAUAGAGGUGGGCCCUGACGUCAAGUACUAAGCAAUGUCCAAACAUACUGAAGGACUGAUGCAAAGAAUGUGGAGAGACAAGAAAUCACCAUGAGGGAAAAAUUCAAGUCCAGUGGAUCUGAUGAAAAGUGGCCUUUUAAGGUGAGACUGUUAAGUGCUAGAUUUGAGAUAUAAAUAAAUAUGUUAUUAUGUUAUUUCAUACAAAAUGAACUUUAAGAUAUGUUCUUUCCUAUGGCAAGAGUUAUAUGGCAUAUGCCUUAUGAAUGAAUUCUAAUGUGAAGCAUUACUUUGCUAAUGUUAAUAUGAACAUACUUGGUUUCUUUCAUUUAAAAGAUACCUAGGAAAUGUUUAGUAAAUAAAUGCCCAACCACUACUUUAAAAAAUUUAAAAGGCAGAAAAUGCAUAGAUUAAAAGACAAUUAAAGGAGACAUCAACCAAAUGCAAUAUGGAGCCUGGACCUUGUUUGAACUUUAACGAAAUGUCUGUGAAAAGAUGUGUAUGUAACAAUCAAGGAAACUGCAACAUUAACUUGUUAUUUGAAAAUAUGAAUGACAUUUUCAUUGUUGCUUAGGUUUGAUACUUAGACGCAAGUUAUGUUUUCAAAAAGCCCCCCCCCCAAUUUUUUUCUUCCAGACAAUCAUAUUAAGUCAGUUCAGAUGAAAUUAAAUAAUCUGAAGCACAAAAUUUGCUUUAAGCAAGUUUGGGGGACAUGGAGACAGCAAAAUUGACCACAAGAUGAAAUUAUGUUGACCUUAACCAAAUAUCCUCCCAACAAUUAAAACAAUAAAUAGAACAAAGAAAAACUUUCUGUUCUCAUUUUAAGAGGCUGCAUCCUUUACUUGGGCAACAACCAUUUCAAUUUGACAUAAAUUAUAAACAAUUAAUUAACCUGACUUAAAAAGUCCAACCUGCCACAUGGCAACAAAAAGAGUAUUAUUUAUUCCAUAUUCAUUUCCAUUUGAAUAAGAAAUUUAAAUAUAAAGGAGUUUCAUUAAGGUCAUGAAAUAUUAAAUAAGCAGUUUAUAUUUAAUGAAAUGAAUUCAUAACACCUGUACCCAAUGGUCAAUUUACAUGUAUUUAGUUUUUUAUUUCACUCUUCUUUGCUCUCUAGGAUUAUUUCACACCACCAGCUUUUAUAAAUUAUGUAUUUUUUUAAUGUGCACCGGGAAACUUGAAAAGAUAGCAUAUAUUUGGUGGUAGGGAACAGUUGUCCUAAAAACUAAGAAGUAUUGGAAAUAAUUUUCAGGAGACCGUCAAACUAAAGUGAACAACUUUAGCCAUAUUAUUUAGGAUAUUCACUGGAUAAUUACACCCCACACUUCAAGUUUCUUGAGUAUUUUGAACACUUAAUGAUAGUAUCUCUAUACAGAUUAAUAAAAUAUAAAACAGAACAUAGCAAAUGUUUUUCAGUUGGGCUGAAAGUUGCAGAUUCUGUAUUUUAUUAGCAGCUUCUAUUCUCAAAUCUUCAAAAACAUGAUGAAAAUUUCAUUGAUAUAAUCAUGUAUUUUCUGCUGGUAAAAUUAUAAAUUACUUUCCUAUAGCAGAUUCAUAAAAAGGACCUUAGUCUUCUGUGUUAAAAGGCUGUUUUGUUUAUUACAGAUUUCACAUCUAAAAAUUGAUAUUUUAUCAAAAUUGAGAUUGGCCCUGUCAAAUGUAGAAACAACCACAUUUAUCUCAAAUAUUUUCAUUAGAUUAAACCAAAUUGUUUUAUCAUAAAAAUCAAGGAAUUUCCAUGUCUGUAUGUAUCACACUUCACUGAUAUUCUAAAUAAAUGUUAUUUGAAAAUAAAAUGUUCCAUAUAAAUGUGUCCUCCAGCAGAUAGUUAAACUAUAAAUCUAGAGGAAUUGGAAGUUAAUGAUUAAAGAAGAGGAACAGAAUGAGAUGUGGAGAACAAAAUGGAGGAGAAAAACUAUACAAAAAUUCCCUUGGAGCAAUUCAUUAAAUUUGGUUAUUGCAGCAAAAAUACAAAAUGAUAUUUUAGAACUUAAAGUAUUUCCACACUGAAUAAUUUCAUUUUUCAUCUUCCAUAUGUAGGGACACAAAAAAACAUUAAAAAGGUACAUUUAUUCUGACAAGUAAUAUUCAAGUUGGAAUUUCAUGUUUUGGGGCAAUUUAAAUAUGCCCUGCAAUUUAGGUUAUUUGAGAAUUCCUUUAUGAAAUAAAUUAAUUGGCAUAAGAGAAUUAUAUGUAGACAGGCAUUAAAACAUUUAGAUAAGUCAUAGUUGAGGAAAAAAAUUUAUCCAAAUUAUUAAAAUGUGAAGCAGUUCAAUAAAUCUAACUUUUAGCUUUUUAAAUUGAGCUGAUCAAAUCAAAUGCAACAGUAAGCCUGACAAUUGAUAAGGGGCCCAAAAUAAUCUGUCCUCUGAGAAGAGAAAGAAAAUGGUAAUGUAAAAUACUCUGGCAAAUUUUUAAUUUUAAGCUAAAUUGCAAUUCAUGAGCAUCUAAAACAGACUCCAGCCUCACUUCUUACAAACUCUUUAUCACUAAUACUGCAGUUAAAAGAUCAUCUCAGUUUUUUGGGUUUUUUUUAGACUUUAUGUCAAAUAGCCUUUUUGCAAAUUAAAUUCAAACUUCUUAAGUAAAUUUUAGGCAUCUGUAUGAAUUCUAAGCACCUUGGUAAAAAAAGAAACACAAGGUUAGUAAUAUUCUUAAAAGAUGAAAAAUAAAUCUAUAAAAUAUCUAUUAAAAACAGAAAGGGGUCUGGGUUUGUGGCUGUGUGGUAGAUAGAGCAUUUGCCCAGCACAAGUGAGGCACUGGGUUUGAUCCUCAGCACCACAUAAUAAAUAAAUAAGAUUAAGGUAAACUGUGUCCAUCCACAACUAAAAAACAAAAAACAGGGGUUGAGGUUGUGGCUCAGUGGUAAAGCACUUGCCUAGCUCUACUGAGGCACUGGGUUCGAUCCUCAGCACCACAUAAAAAUGAAAUAAAGAUAUUGUGUGUCCACCUACAACUAAAAAUUAUUUUUAAAAAACCAAAAACCAAAAAAAAAAAAAAAUCAGAGUUGGAUAAUCUGUUUCCUUCUUUUGUUCUUGUUCUCUCUCUCUGCAGAGGAAAAUUAUAGACAAACUUCUAAGAAAAAAACAGCAUUGAUUUCACAACCAAGAACAAUGCUUCCUUUCCUUUCAUCUUGGUAUUUGUAUAUUUUCACAAAGCUGAGAUUAUCUUAUUUAUGUAAUGUGGGAUAUUGUAUAUUUAUCAUUUUAGCAUAAGUAUUUUCCUAUUUUUACACACUGUUGUAAUAUCACAUUUGGAAAAAAAAAGUUCUGCAAAACAGUGUAAAAUAUGUAGUUUGUAGUCAGGUGUGGUGGUGUACACCUGUAAUUAAUGACUUGGGAGGCUGAGGUGGGAGAAUCACAAGUUUUGAGAGCAUCAAACCUAAUUGGCACAGGAUACUAUGUGAUUCUGGGUCCUGGAAGGAGUCCAAAUUUUCCUAAGAACUUUCAUUGGUGGGACAUUUAUGAAAAGUCUGUUUUCAGAAGUGUUAACACUGUAAAGAAACCAGCAAGGGAUCCAGGAUUCUUCUUCUUUCAGUGUUCCAUGAUUCUGCAGGUAGCUCCCAUGAGGCAACAGGCUCCUCAUCAGAAAUACAAGCAACAAAAGGACAAGCAAGUGAUGCCUUCUAUAGCACCAGUCUGAGAAAACCACAGAAGAGCAGAAAAGGAUGAACAAUACAUCUACAAGGGUUGGGGCAAAGGGAAACAUGCUCAGCAAUGUAGAUCAGAGGACAAAUUUACAGAUAUUUAGAAACUAGAUGAAAAAAAUAAAAUCUGACAGCCAAUGGGAUGCAAGAAUACGUGAAGAUGAUGUAGUCUCAGUAACUUCCAAAUUUCUGCACUGGGUAACUAAGUGACUGCUGCUAUCAAGAACACACAUAGACAGAGUGAAGGUUGGAAUGAAUGGGUUUGACUUAGAUCUGUUGAGUUUCCGCUAUCUAUAGAUAGAAAUUUUGAUGAUCAGUUGGUUAUCAGGGCUUGCCACUGGGGAGAUAGAGCUUGGCCUCCCAUUUCUAGAUUUCAGAUAAACUAUUUAAAAAUAAUUUAUAGAAUCAAAUGUAAAUUCCUUGAUACCAAUUUCUUAUCUUUCAGAGAAGCCCUUUUAAAACAAUUUAUAGAAUCAAAUGUAAAUUCUUUACAAUGGCAUUCAGGAUCUAUUGCAAUCUGACUACCUUUUCUUAAUUUUAUUACUCACUGCAUAUUCCAUGCAUUCUGUUUGGCUAAGCAUGCACAUUCAAAACAUACCAUGCUUGUGUGGUUCCUUUUAUAUUAAAUCCCCAUCUUUCUUUGCCUAUGAAAAUCAAACAUAUCUUUAAGGAUACAGCUUACUUGCAGGUGCAGGCACCUUCCCAAAGCCUUUGCCAAUUUUAUUAACCUAAAUUAAUUGUAUCCUCACUUGUGCUCCAUCUACAGUAUAUUUGUACUUCAGUGUUUAUUUCAUUCAGCUUUGUUGCUUACAUACUGCAUUCUCAGGGGCAAUAAGCUAUUUGAGAGUGAGAGUGUACGUUGGU
rnacentral:lncRNA from 1 species